CCAAUCCCCACGACACACUGCCACACACUCGCUAAUCCCCGGCCACUCCCCUGCACACCCACGGCCCUUCCAAGACACCCCACGCAGAUCCCUUCCCUACACCGCCUUGCUCUCCCGGCCAACGCUUGCCCCCUUCUCCCCUCCCGGCCGCCCCUCCGCACGCCCACUCUGAGACUGUGAAAAAAUUUAAAGUAGAGAUUUUCCGGGAUGCCAGACAGCCUGUGGAAUGAUCGUGUGAAUCAAUAGCGUGGUGGGGCGGGAUAACGGAGGCGCGCCGCCCCCGGGGGAGCCGCGUUCCCUGCGAGGCAGCAUCUGACCACCCAGGGCAGCGCCGAGCCGCACCUAGUGAGGUCCCAGCCGCUGCCCCGUCGCACCCAGUGAGGCCCCAGCAGCUGCCCCGCCGCCCCCAGUGAGGUCCCAGCAGCUGCCCCGCCGCCCCCGCUCCGAAACACCAUGGUGCUGCCGUCCGUCGGCGUGGCCCUGCCCCGCGCCACGCCCUGACCACCCAGCCACCCCCCACCCCGCGGCCCGCCCCUCCGCCACCCUCGCCACACCAGCAACCACGCUGCAGUGAGGCGCCAUGGACAACCACACGCUCGCCAACGGCACCAACGACACCUUUAGUGUUGACUGGAAGACCAUACUCGAGAGGAGUCAGCAGAACUACUUGGGCACGGCGGCGCGUGCCUCGCUCAUCACCGUGUACGCGCUGCUCAUCACCGCCGGCAUCCUCGGCAACCUGAUCCUGGCAGCGGCGAUCAUGCGGCGGCCCGAGCUGCGGCGCGAGGCCCACAACGUGUACAUCAUCAACCUGACGGUGUCCGACGUGAGCCUAUGCGUGGUGUGCAUGCCCUUCACGCUGCUCGGCCUGCUGCACAGCAACUACACGCUCGGGAACUUCAUCUGCAAGCUGGUACCGAUGCUGCAGUGCACCAACAUCCUAGUGUCAACGGCCACCAUCGUUGCCAUCGCCGCGGACCGCUACUUCACCAUCGUGCGGGUGACGGGCAACAGCCGCGCCCGCGCCCGCGUGCCGUGGUCCGUGGCGGCCAUCUGGCUGGUGUCGCUGGCCUUCACGCUGCCGCUCUUCGCCUACUACUACGUGACGCAAGUCAUGCUGGGCGGGCUGCUGCUGUACGAGAAGUGCGUCGAGACGUGGCCCUCGCCGAUGGUCAAGUACUCGUGGACAAUCGCGCUCAUCGUCAUGCAGUACGUCAUCCCCAUUCUGGUGCUCAGCUUCGUGCACGGACGCAUUCACAAAUACCUGAGCACGCACGCCCUGUCCCAGCGCGACCCGCGGCGGGCACAGCGCGAGAUCGAGAGGAACCGCCGCACCACGCUGCUCCUCACCUCCGUCGCCGCCGCCUUCGCCGUCUGCUGGCUGCCCUGGCACGUGGUCAACCUCCUCGCAGACUUCAACUACGCGGGCUUUGUUAGGGCGCCGGAGUACUUCUUUGUGGUGUUCGGGUCCUGCCACGCCAUCGCCAUGAGCUCGGCGUGUACCAACCCUGUGCUCUACGGCUGGCUCAACACCACCCUCAGGAACGAGCUCUCCGCCCUCCUCUCCUUUAGCCGCUGCAAGUGUCUCGGGCGGAGGACCUCGGGAGGGGGCGCUGCCGAGGGCGUGUCCCUGCUCGUUCACCCCCCAAGGAACGGCGCGCAGGGGGGAAAGAAGGGGAAGCAGUGCGUCCUCUCCCUUCCCCAACGAGACGGUGCGAGCAAGGACAAGGACGAGGAUCUAAAGGGACGGAGCCGCAGCCAGGAGGACACCAAAAUCGAGUGCGUAAAAGUGGAGAACGAGACGGAGAAGGAGAAAGAAGGCGAGGAGCUGUUUAGGGAGAACGAAAACAGGAAGGAAAACCAUCAUCUGUUAGUGAAGAAUUGUGACGCGGAAAGAGAUGAACAGGAAAAGAAUAAUUGUGAGGGAAACAAGAGUGAGGAGGAGAAAAGUGAGGACCAGGAGGAGGAGGAAGAGGAGGAGGAGGAGGAGGAGGGAAAGACCAUACUGAAUCAGGAUGGAAGAACGAAAACAAGAAACCAAGAAAGGACGCAGUGAGGAUACAACGCAGGACAUCGCAGGACAACGCAGGACAUCGCUGGACUUCGUAGAUAGUGUGUGGUCGAGAGGAAGCAACAUGAC